rnacentral:rRNA from 1 species
UACGGGGGGGGCAAGCGUUGUUCGGAAUUACUGGGCGUAAAGGGCCAGUAGGCGGCCAACUAAGUCCGACGUGAAAUCCCCAGGCUCAACUUGGGAACUGCGUCGGAUACUGGAUGGCUUGAAUUCGGGAGAGGGAUGCAGAAUUCCAGGUGUAGCGGUGAAAUGCGUAGAUAUCAGGAGGAACACCGGUGGCGAAGGCGGGUCUCUGGGCAACAACUGACGCUGAGGAGCGAAAGCGUGGGGAGCGAACAGG